CUUUCCAUCUUCUUUUGCUCAAGACAAAUUUACUGUAUCAAAAGGGAGAGAAGAAAAAGAGAAGGAGACUGUAGAGAGCACGCACAAGGAAAAGACACGGUUCACUCUUAUCAUCCAUCAUUCGCUUCGUGAUCCGAUGACCAUAGUAAGCUCUCAUCAGGCUGUGCUCGGGAACAGCCCACGCUCCGUCGCCUCAUACGAGCGAGAUGAUUCAGUAUCAGAGCAGGACAUCAUCAGCCACUCCUCCCCCCCCGGACAGAUUCUAAUCCUUUGUUGACUGGCAUAUCUCUGCCGUCACGUGAUCUCGCUGCAGAUGCGUGUAAUGGAGCCCAAGAUUAUAUAGUUUAUCUCUUCUUCUUUCUUUUUUUUUCUGGUUUUUUUUAUAUAUUUAUGUCCCUCAUGGGUCUAUAUAUCAUAUGCUCUUCUACAAAAUAUUUGUAGACCUUAGGACUAAAGGAUUGGAUGUUAACUUAUGCGGGGCACACAGCAAAAUGGACGGCUGACGUUGUUGUCGCAUUGAAACGUGCGGUCGGAUAUGUAACGGACUCUCGCUUUGGGUGGUUGAGGUCUCAUUGAAGGCUCCAAUUUUUUCGGCCCCCUCCCUGCCCCAGCAAAUCGAACACAUGACACGACUACCUACCGCUGCAGAGGAGUCGCGAGCCCAAAGACAAGCAAGCAGGGCACACUGCCCUUUUCGCGUGAGCUUUUUAAGUUAGCCCCUCUCUUUCCUCCCUCCUUCCCUUCCUCCAAAAGCUAGCCUUCAGAAAGCGCGCCAUGGAGCUCUUCAGGCUGCUCGCUCAUGCUGGCGAACACGGUGACGGCGACCCCUCCCCGGCUACCGAGCCCGCCGACACCACCAUCGCCGCCACGGUCCUCUGCUCGGACUCCGAUGACGGCGGCGGGGACAGCGAGGACGAGGGCCCCUUCUUCGACCUCGAGCUCACCCCUCCGAUGCAGGAAGACACGGACCACCAUCGAGAGAACCAGCAGUCGUCCGACGCGGAGACCGAGGACGAGGACGGAGCGGAAGAGUUCGACCUGGAGUUGUCCCCGGAUGGAGGAAGGUACGGCCGCGGCGGCGGCAGCCUCCGGCGCGACCCCGACCUCUCGUUGUCCCCCUCCGAUGGACUUUUCUUUAAGGGCCGCCUCGUCCCGCUCGAGCCCUCCUCGUUGACGGACUUCGCCGCCUCCGAGGUGGCUAAGUCGUCCAAGUCCCAAGUCCCUGCUUUGCUCAAAUCCGCCGCCAGGGCCCGCGCCUUUAAGCUGAGCUUCCACGGGAGGUCGAAGUCGGCCUCGAUGGAGCCCAACCCCGUCUCCUCCCCCGCUGCGACGUCCUCGCCGCCGAAGCAAAAACAUAGAAACAAGUUCUUCGUCAGGUUCAGGGUCGAGGCGGCCCCGCCGGUGCCCCUCUUCGCCAGGGACAACAGCUCGAGGAGCUCCAGCAGCAGCAGAUCGGCCAUGCUUUUCGCCAACGAUGGAUGGCCGGCGUCGGACGACAAGAAGCUCCUCAAGGACGUGCUCCAAAGGUAUCUUAGCAAAAUUAAGCCUUUUUACAUCAAAAUCUCGAAACGGUACGGCGAGAAGCUCCGGUUCUCCGGGCCGUUGAGCUCAAGCAGAGCCAUGAAAGUGCGGCCCGCCAAGGAAAGCGGAGGAGACCAGCUGAAAGAGACGGUAUCAACGUGGAGCAGCUUUAGUGGGUCACUGAAGUCGCAAGAUGAGAAUAUCCCGGCGGGACUGAGGGUGGUCAGCCGGCGACUGAGGAAGAGCCGGUCGGCGUCCGCGGCCGUCGCCUCGGUUCGCUCGCCGCCGCUGGCGACCGGAAGGCGGGACGACUCGCUCUUGGAGCAGCAAGACGGAAUCCAAAGCGCCAUCGCUCACUGCAAGCGGUCAUUUAACAGAGGGUCGGAGUCGCCGCUGAUGCGAUCGAGGAGCGAUUCCGGCGACGGGAGAUCGUUGGAAUCAAGCAGCAGCAGCAGCAGCAGCAGUAGCAGCAGCGGCGGCGGCGGCGGCGACGUUUGAGCAUCGUCCGUUCGGGUUUUUAUUAGAACGGAGGUGGAAAUUAAUACGCAUAAAGGAGAACGAAAUGGUUUGGUAGAGCUAUUCCAGAUUUGGUUUACAUCUCUUUUGUGGGUGCAGUUGACUGUUCGUUCGGUGAAAAGAAAUCAAAGACGCGGAGGUGUGGACGGACGAUGAAGAUGAGGAAGAAGACAAAGGUUUUGGAGGACAAAGAUCUGAACGAGUCUUGCCAUGAGCAUGCAUGCAGGAAGCAGAAGACCCACCACCGUAUGUUUGUUCAAAGUGGCAUCCCCACCUUCCAUCGUAUCCCGUCCAAAGGAGAGAGAGAGAGAGCGGCAGCCUGUGGCAGACUAAAGCAGCGACAAAGAGGUGCGGAUGUGGGGGGGAAGGAGCAGGCGAGAGAGAGAGAGAGAGAGAGAGAGAGAGAGAGAGGGAGGGAGUAUUCAUCCUUUAAUUAAUUGCGUGGUCAGCGGAAGCAGCGAAUCCGAUGCUCGCCUUUUGGAGUGCUCGCGUGAUGCUGUGCUUCUUUUGUCAGGUAAGACAGCAUCAGAUUCUCCCUGCGUUGUAGUCCGGAUGGUGUGAUAGCUUGUCGUCACACCGCAAUUGUUUGACCUCGUCCGACUUCAUCGAGUUCCAUGCUUUCUUGGACGACGCCAGCUGAGAGUGAACUCUGGCUUUGCGAUGCAUGGUUCACGGGCGGUGUGCCAAAAGAUUCGCGGUAGGGUUGCUGAUCUGGAUUCAGUACACCAAGUGUUUGAUGGAAUGGGAGAGAAGACUAUGGGUUGCAUGGAGGAUAGAUCGUCCUCCUCUCGCUCUGAAUAAAUUAGAUACCAUA